rnacentral:lncRNA from 1 species
AGUUUACAUCUUUCACAGGGCAAACAUACAGUACACUUAGAGAAAGCGGGAAACAGCAAAGAGGGCUUGGGGUGGGAGGGGGGGACAGCAUGCCGAAGGAAAGUCCUACCGCGUCAUCUCUCCGUGCUGGCCCUGCAAACCCAGGCAGCAGAGCAGGGUGGGCGCCCCCAAACCCACCCGGCCCUUGGUGGGGGCUCUGCUCUCCAGCCCCCAGCCCCAGGGACCCCCUGCACCCCGGUGUCCCCGUCCCCGGGGCUGGCAGGGAGCUGCGGGCAGGGUUUGGGAACCGGUGCUGCCCGCGCAGCCGUGGGCAGGGGGGCCGGGGGCACGACGCCUCCCUGCCGGGGCUGUGCCUUUUGGUGGCAUCGGGGGAGACCCCAGGGUGCUGCCGGGUGCUGCGGGGGGCCCUGCCACUGCAAACACCCUGCACAGCACCCGGGAGCUGCUCCGGGAGCAAGGCGACGCCGUGCCCCCAACCCCAAACCCACCCGGGCGCAGGGACCCCCGAGGAGCUGGGGAUGCCCAGGAGGAGGUGGGCGAGGGGCGGCUGUGGCAGGCGGUGCCAGGGGUGAUUCCGGGGAGGUUUGGGGUUCCCAGAGCCUUGCCGGGAGGCAGCACUUUGGUUUCAGCUGGGGUUUCCAUUUGGGAAUGCCUGGGGACCCCAGGCAGGCUGUCCCCCCACCACGAACACCAUUCCCCUGCUCCAUCCACAGCAUUGGGAAGGAAACCCAAGACGGGUGCUGCGGGUGGCCACGGGGACCUGAUCCGGCACAGGGCUGUGCCACCCUGUCCCCCGUGUCCCCAAGCUGCCCCGCAGCACCCGGGGUGUUCCCAAGCCCUGUGGCUGUACCAGGACCACGGGGCACAUCCCUCUGCCAGCACCCGGUGCCACAAAGCCACCAAAAACAAGGCUUGGGGCACACACGUCCCAGCCCCACGCACGUCCCAGCAUCGGUGUGGGGCAAAAAAAAAAAACAUGGAAGCACCCGGUCAGAGCCUCCCCGGCCACCACCACGGCCGCCGUCCUCCCCGCACCGUUAUUUUUUGGAAAUAUCACACGUUAAAGCUGUCGUUCUGGUUUGGACGUCUGCUAGCGCCGCACCGCCCGCCCCCUCCCUCCCUCAGCUUUUGGUUUCAAUGCAAGGUUCUUUAGGGAAUUUUUAUUAUUAA